UACAGAGGUCUCAAGCGUUGUUCGGAAUCACUGGGCGUAAAGGGUGCGUAGGCGGGGCUUUAAGUCAGGGGUGAAAUCCUGGAGCUCAACUCCAGAACUGCCUUUGAUACUGAAGAUCUUGAGUUCGGGAGAGGUGAGUGGAACUGCGAGUGUAGAGGUGAAAUUCGUAGAUAUUCGCAAGAACACCAGUGGCGAAGGCGGCUCACUGGCCCGAUACUGACGCUGAUGCACGAAAGCGUGGGGAGCAAACAGG
rnacentral:rRNA from 1 species